GUGGAGCUUAGACAGAAUGCUAACAAAAAACAUACCCCACUUCUCAGGGUGGGCCUGAGAUUAAAUAUCUUUUGUAGGGAGCAGUGUCUGGGAAGGAAAGUUCAAUGGCUAAGCCUCCAGGCCUUUAGGUACCUCAUUAUAAUGGAGAACUGUCUUGAGCUUAUGUGGCCUGUGGUCAUGUCUUCUACCUGUGGAGGGGUUUGGGGCAUUGCACUUAUGAGACUGAUGGCCGCAAAUCUAUGGAGAGCCGAGGCUAGUGAUAGGGGCUUGGUUUCCUAGGAGUCAGGCUAAAUGCCUACCAUCCCUUGAGGGUCACCGUGGUUUCUAGCCUUAGUUCAAUCAGGAAUCAGGCUGACUUUCAUAGUCCCACAGGGCCUCUAGGAAGAGAUUCAGCCAUGAAGGUGAGGCCGUCAGUAACAAGGUUCAUGGAUCUUUAACUAAGAGUCCUAAGAGAUCUGAAUUUAUCCUGACACUGGCAACUUGAACUUUGGCCUUCUAUCCCAUCAGCCACUUCUACUGUGUGUAUUGUACACCAUCCAUUCCAAGGUGACUAAAACUGAAGCUACAGCAGGACCACAGCAAGGAGCCCGUGACCCUGCAUCUGGUGAUAGCAGAGAUACAGAGAAGCAGACGAGAUAGAAACAUCUGGAGACAGACACCGGUGGCAUCUGUUGGCAGUGCACUCAGGCUCUCAUCACCUGCCAAACCUGUUCUCUCACUCUGUCAUGAUGCUCUCUCUGCUGGGGACUGAGGUACUGGGAGGCUGGCAGAACUCAGGGCAGUGAGCCUCCAACCAACAAUUCUCCAUCUUGGAGACUGGUUCUACAGACCCUAAGCUUGUGGUCCUCAACCUACCUAAUGCUGUGACCCUCUAAUACAGUUCCUGUUGGGGUGACCUUCAGCCAUGAAAGGGUUCCCAUUGCUACUUCAUAACUAAUCUUGCUACCAUUAUGAAUCAUAAUGUGAUUGUAAUCUGAUGUGCAGGAUAUCUGAUAUUCAACCCUCCUGGAAAAGUCAUUUGAGCCUAAAGGGGUCUGGACCCACAGGUUGAGAACCACUGUUCUAAAUUAACAUAAUUGGUUCCAUGACUAGUCCUAGUGAGCAGAUCCUAAAGUGGGGAUUUGGAGCAACAGUCAUCUGGAUGCAAGGGCUCCCCUGGAGGACAGAAGCCUCUAUGGGGUCUGUGGCUGACCCUUCCGUGAUGGCGAAUUAGCUCAAGUCUUUUGAAAGACGUGUAGAAGUAGAGAUAUGAUUGAUCAGGCCAUGAUACAAUGGCACUUGCUAAAUAUUAGGGAAAAGGGCUGCGGUUGAUUAAUUACUGAUUGAACAUGAAGUCCGCCUUCAGAUAGCUUCCUUGGCAGCAUAAGAAAUCCAACUGGAGGGCUGGGGGCAGGGCUUCUGGUUUUGAGGCAGAGCCCAUGUAAACCACGGCAGUCUUGGCACUUGCUAUGUAGACCAUCAGCGAUCCACCUGCCUCUGCCUCACAAGUGCUGGGAUUGAAGCUGUGUGUACCAUCCCCGGCAGGCCAUAUCUUUAACAUAAGAUAGGGAAAUGACAGAGCUGAGAUUAAUUAGGAGUGCAGCACAACGGCGCUAGAUGCUUAUCGUGUAAGUGUGUGGGUAUUGGCCCUGUAUGUAUGACUGAACCACUUUCGUGCAUGCCCAUGAGGCCAGAAGAGGACAUCAGAUCCCUUGGAACUGGGGUUAUAAUGGGUGAGAGCUGCAUUGUGAGUGCUGGGGUUCUAACCAGAGUCCUCUGGCACAGAGGCCAAUGUUCUUAACUGCUGCAAUCAUCUCUCAUACGUGUAUGGUAGUUCUUAAUAGAAACUGGGAGAUAGGUUUAUUAAAAUGAGUGGAAAUGCCAGAGUAGAGGCAGGAAAAGGUCAUUACCAGUAGAGAGACAGUCAAUAGAAUCAUCUGUUAGGGCAAGAUAGGUGUGGUACGCACAAGGGCCUGACUCAGUUUUACACUAAAUAACAGGGGUGGGUGAUCACAAGAACAAGUGUUCUCUUAUAAAGUCAUUUCACGUUCUCCGAUUUCCACCCUUGGCCAGCUUUCAUGCUCAGAGUCUGUGGACUGAAGGCAAAGUUGGGUCUCAGGAACAAAGCUAAGAAAAAUGUCCGUUUCAAUCAUUCUCCUGAAGGAGUCUCCAGUUGUUUUCUUGUGUAAGGAAAAGUGCUAGACAUUUAGAUUACUGGAACUGUGUUGUAGCCAGGAGCCAGUGUGACCCCAUAGUUUCCCCUUCAGAAGUAAAAUAAUGUAUAGUGCUGAUUUGGGACCAUUUUGGUUUAUAGUGGUUUGUGGGUCCAUGAAGCCACCCAAUGAUCAUCUGCCCUGACUGACUACAGAAUUAGAAUGGAUGGGCCAUAAAGAACCAUUAUAGUGAGGCCGGCCAGGCGAGCAGGUGAAGCCCACGGAACUGCCUUCCUCUCCCUAGGCACAAGAGUAAAUUGUGAUAUUUAACCUAGUAGGAAUGUCAAUUUAUUGUAUGUUUUCUGGAGCUGAGGAUAGAGUGUAGUACUUCGUGCAUGCUAAGCAUGUGCUCUCCCACUGAGCCAUCCAAGCUGGCCCUGAGAAGGUCACGUUUUAGCUUGUUGCUUCAAGAUGUAAAGAACAGAGCAGGAGAUGGAGUCUCCAACAUACUCCCAGGUAAUGGAUGUCUUGGCCUUAAACAGUUUAGAAUACUGUCUGUUGAUAGUGGACUUUCACAAUUUUGUAAAAUUAUAUUUAUUUAUGCAUGUGGGAAGUGCAUGUGCAUGAACAUGUCACAACAUAGUGUGUACACGUGGAUAUCAAAGGACAACUUUGUGGAGUUGGUUCUCUGUUUCUGUCAGGAUGGGACUUCUGGUCUUAGCAGUGAGUGCCUUUGCCUGCUAGGCCAGUGCAUUGGGCCAGGACUUCCACAGCUCUGACCACAUAUUAGCCCUGGGUGAAUGGCUCUGCCAGGUGUGGGAUCUUGGCUAGGGCAUAAUGAUGUGGUUUGCUUACAGGGAGAAUGGCCGCUGACUGUGUACUUUUUCAUCUCUAGUAGAGCAAAGCGGUUCACACUCAGGAGGGGCAGGCAAUGGCGUCCAGGGAGGCUUUCCUCAGGGCCAGCGUUUAGCUUUCCCACUCUGUUCUGAAAGAGCUGACACUGCAUAGAAUCUGACACUCUGUAGAAUCAAACCAGCGCACCACAUUCAGGACAUGCAGAUUACUGCAGAUAGGAAAGACAGCAGGUAUGUGGGAGGCUAUGGUAAGAAACAUGCACCCCUCUUCCCAGAGCAGAAAGGGAGCCAGGUAGGGCCAGACCCCCAUCAUAUCAGAGCAGAGGCCUCACUUUGGGAUAGAAUACCACACCAUGCUGCAUCUUGCUUCCACUGUUGAGAAUGAACGACAGAGCUAAAUGUGCUGACACAGGCUUCUGUAGGCCUAGCUCCUUGGGAGGCCGAGGCAGGAGGAGUAGAUUACAAAAAACAAGCUUUGACAGAGUUAGAGUGAGUUCAAGGGCAGUCUGUCCUGAAGUUUUAAAGACAAGAUCCUUGGGCUGGGAGUGUUGCUCAGCGGUAGAGUGCUUGCCUAGCAUGGGCCAAGAAGGGCCUGGUUCCAUGUCCAGGGUGAGUCCUGUGGGUACUGGGUAGCCCAUGCAGAAUCCAGGCUUCAGGAGCAGGACUAAGCCUACUGGAGCUGACAACACAUGCCCAGAGGAAAUCUCAGAGCUUAUGCGGGGCCUGAGUGCUUCCCUUCCCCUACUGGUAUAGCAUCCAUCUCUUUGCCUGUCCUAUCUCUUUCUCUUGGGUACUCACAGAUACAGAGAAACUGCUUAAGACUUGUACCUGGGACCACCACUGAGGAGGAACCACAUCUGCACGUGCCUGAGAUGAUUCAGUCUUGAAGCUAGAGUCUGAACCAGAUGCGGAGACUGGAUGAGCCUCCAGGGCAGAGCAGCAGUGAGCUGCACAUGUCUGGUUGGGCUGUGAUUGAUAUUACAUCACUCUACCUGGCUAGCUGGCCGGGAAAGCAUGUCUGGGUGGGUCUGAAUGUUUCACACAGACAUCAGGAUCAGACAACCAAGCAGACAAGACUGUCUUUAGAAUGUGGGUGGGUACCCUCCACUCACUGGGAGUUCUGCAAUAACAGGGCAGACGAAGUGAACUUCUUCUUUCUUCUGGCACUGGCAGUGUGGGGGUUUAAAUCUUGGCUCACAUCCAGACAGAAUACACCAAACCAACAUGGUUCCAUGCGGAAAGGUUUAAUGAGAGAAGAAGAAUAGAAGAGGGGAGAAGUAAAGGCUGGUCAUGAGCAUGUGAAGGAAAAGGGGAUGGGGAGAGAAAGGACAGGGACAAAAGGGAAGAGAGCAGAGAAGAGUAAGAGAGAGCAAGAGAGCAAGGAGGGGCCAAGCAGUCCCUUAUAUAGUUGCCAGGCAACUGUGGGGCGGAGCAUACCUGGCUGUUGCCAGGUAGCUGUAGGGGUGGAGCUUAGACAGAAAACCAACGGGCACACCGGCAGGCCUGGAGCUUCCUGUGAGACUAACGACAGCUUUGGGGAGUUGCGUGUGACUUCGGGAGUUCUCAGGACUAAGGAUGCUCCUUUGGGAGAGACACUUUCAAGUGGAACCAAACAGUUUCCCUGCCACCCUGACCUCGUCUGUGUGAUGGGCUACUGAAAACUAAGACAGAACUAAACCAAACGAAAAACAGAAACAGCACCAGUAAUAAAUCAAGAAGCACUCGGAGAUGAUCCCAUGGAAACUGCCAACGAGAGAGCUUCCGUCUGCAACCAGGAGAAGAUGGGCCUCUCAAGAUCUAUGUCUGCAGCCAGCCCAGGCCCCUGACUGAGCUACUCCUGCUGACUUUUCAGAGGAAGAGACACUAGACAACUUGCUCCUGAGCCUGGAGGAGCUGGUCUAUGAUGGACAAUACAGCUUCUGUUAGCAUUUAUAAAACAUGGCACAGAGGACAUUUAUUAAAAAAGGAUCCACAAAAGCAUCAAGUUGAAGGAUAAACAUGUGUCCCACAUUUCCUUCAGGGUCUUAGUCCUUUAGAGAGAACACCCUGCACAUAGGAGGUCCCUGAAGUGAUAUCAAACAGAAUUAUGCUGGCAACAGACAUGGGCAUUGCCUCUAUGAGCUCAGCCACUCUCCCCCACUGGGAUGGAAGCUGCUUAGAGCCCUCCUAAGCAGACCUCCUGGUGGCACUGUCUGUAGGCUGCUGGCUUUGAGAGAGUCGGGCACUCACUGCCAUGGCGUCCGGUGACCUUGUGCAUGCACUGUACCACUCUGGACUGGAGCCCCUUCCCGCAGGUGGAUGAGCACUGCCAGAGACAGGGACAGCCUGAACUGAGGGUCUAUGACAUGAUCCUCCCAUACAGAUGCUCCUGGGCAUGUCUUUCCCAAGGACCUGCAAUAUCUGCAUGUCAAGGAUGCUCACUACCUGCUGAAAGAAUGCUUCAGGACGGCAUGUUUAUGCCUCACUGAAUCCCUAACUCCUCAGUGGCUGAUAUAGACAGUUGAGACUUUGCUUAAUCUUGAUAGACAACUUGAUGAGAUUUAGAAUCACCAUAAAAAAAAUCUUUGGGCAUCUCUGGGAGGCAAUAAUGCCUAGGUUAGGCCUAGGUGAAGAGCCACUAUCCAUGUGAGUGGCGCCAUGCCAUAGGCUGAGGUCCUAAACUGAAUGUGCUAAGCUCUCAUUACUUCAUGUUUCCUGACUGUGGGCUCGAUGUGACCAGCUACCUUUACUCCUGUCAUUGAUUUCCCCACCUGAAACCUGAAAUGUGGCAUCCACUGACCAGGGAUUCUGUUCCAGCAAUGUCACCGAUACAGAAUUGAUUAAGUAAGGUACUGGGGACAGGCCACCCAGGAUGAGAUUAGUGUCUUUAUAAGAACACCAAGACCAUUAACUGAGGAUGACAAGAUAGCUCUCUGCAAACUAGGGGAUAUCAGCCUCAUGUUUUGGUGACACUGUUAUAAACAACUGUUCUACCAGUCUUUAAAAACAAAGCACAGAACUAUGAGCAAGAUGAGCUAUUUGAUAAUUGUAAACGGUGUCCCUGGCUGUAUCUAACACAUACAAUAUUUAGAGUCCUACUUAGAAAAGAAUUAGUUGUCCCUUUCCCAUCUGAACCUGUGCCGUGAGCACCUAGGUCUUGGGUGCUGGAUCCACAUGCAGUCCAACAACACCCAGAGGAAGCCUGACUCCUGGCUACUCUAACAUGCCCAGGAUCACAGCUGAGGAGGUCACAACAACUGCUCCAACACUCAGAGUAACUGGGAACCCCAGGAUCCAGGGGCACAGGAACCACCCACCCAGCCAGUUGCAUGGGUUCCUUCCAGUCUGAACCAGUGCCCUUAGCAGACCUUGGGCACUGGCUCCACACCCAGUCCCAAAACGCCCAAUGGAAGCUGCACUACCAGGUGCUCUGAAGUGCCCAGGAUCACAGGAUCACAGAGGAAGCUCGACUACCAGGAGAUCAGACCAAGCCAGGAGCACUGGAGCUCUGACACUCAACAUCACAGUUGAGGCCACAACAUCUUUUCUAACACCCAGAGUAACUAGGACCCCCACAGGAACCAGGGAAACACAAAGCCCCACCCCGCCAGAGCCAGAGGCUUCUUCCAGCAUGUACCUGUGCCCUGAGCAAACCCAGGGCUCUGACUCCCCACCCACUCCUGCAACACCCAGAGAAAGCUUGACUCCCAGGAACUCUGAAACAACAGGAGCUUGGUCACACCAGGAUUUCAGGAUCCAAGAGGCAGCUUGAAACCCAGGAGAUCUGAUACACCCAGGAUCCCAGGAUCCCAGGUUCAAGGAAUCACAGGAUCACAGAGACAACUAGACUCUGAGGAAUUCAGAUACAACCAGGACCACUGGAGGAACAGGCUCCAGUCAGAGACAGCGGGGCAGGUAGCACUAGAGAUAACUAGAAGGCAAAAGGCAAGCACAGGAACAUAAGCAACAGAAACCAAGGCUACACGGCAUCAUCAGAAUGCAGUUCUCCCACUACAGUAAACCCCACUGUACCAGAAAAGCAAGAUUUGGAUUUAAAAAUCACAUCUCAUGAUGAUGAUAGAGGACUAUAGGAAGGACAUAAAAAAAGAAAGAAAACUCCCUUAAAGAAAUACAGGAGAACACAGGUAAACAGGUAGAAGCCCUUAAGGAGGAAAGACAAAAAUCCCUUAAAGAAUUACAGGAAAACACAAACAGGUGAAGAAAUUGAACAAAACCAUCUAGGAUCUAAAAAUGGAAAUAGAAACAAUAAAGAAAUCAAGAUGGGAGACAACCCUGGAGAGAGAAAACCAAAGAAAGAGAUCAGGGGAUCGUAGAUAGAUGCAAGUAUCACCAACAGAAUACAAGAGAUAGAAGAGAGACUCUCAAGUGCAGAAGAUACCAUAGAAAACAUUGACACAACAGUCAAAGAUAAUGCAAAAUGCAAAAUGAUCCUAACCCAAAACAUCCAGGAAAUCCAGGACAUAAUGAGAAGACCAAACCUAAGGAUAAUAGGUAUAGAAGAGAGCAAAGAUUCCCAAUUUAAAGGGUCAGUAAAUAUCUUCAAUAAAAUUAUAGAAGAAAACUUCCCUAACCUAAAGAAAGAGAUGCCCAUAAACAUAUAAAAAGCCUACAGAACUUCAAAUAGACUGGAGCAGAAAAGAAACUCCUUCCAUCCCAUAAUAAUCAAAACACCAAAUGCACAAAACAAAGACUAUUAAAAGCAGUAAGGGGAAAAGGUCAAGUAACAUAUAAAGGCAGAUCUAUCAGAAUCACACCAGACUUCUCACCAGAGACUAUGAAAGCCAGAAGAUCCUACAUUGUAGAAACAGCAAGAAAGUAAUCUUUCAAUUAACCCAAAAGAAGAUAGACACACAAAAAUAAUCCCACCUCUAACAACAAAAAUGACAGGAAGCAACAAUCACUUUUCCCUAAUAUCUCUUAACAUCAAUGGAUUCAAUUCCCCAAUAAAAAAAGACAUAGACUAACUGACUGGAUAUGUAAACAGGACCCAGCAUUUUGCUGCAUACAGGAAACAUACCUCAGUGACAAAGACACUACCUAAGAGUAAAUGGCUGGGAAACAAUUUUCCAAGCAAAUGGUCCCAAGAAACAAACUGGAGUAGCCAUUUUAAUAUCUAAUAAAAUUGAUUUUCAACCAAAAGUUAUCAAAAAAUAUAAGGAAGUACACUUCACACUGGACAAAGGAAAAAUCUACCAAGAUGAGCUCUCAAUUCUAAACAUCUAUAUUCCAAAUGCAAGGAGACCCACAUUCAUGAAAGAAACCUUACUAAAGUUCAAAGCACACAUUACACCUCACACAAUAAUAGUGGGUAACUUCAACACCCCACUCUCAUCAAUGGACAGAUCAUAGAAACAGAAACUAAACAGAGACACAGAGAAACUAACACAAGUUAUGAACCAAAUGGAUUUAACAGACAUUUAUAGAACAUUUCAUCCUAAAACAAAAGAAUAUACCUUCUUCUCAGCACCUCAUGGUUCCUACUACCAUAACUGACCAUAUAAUUGGUCACCAUGGACUAAGAAUGGUCGUCAAUAACAACAAAAACAACAGAAAGCUCACAUGUACAUGGAAGUUGAACAACGCUCUACUCAAUGAUAACCUGGUCAAGGAAGAAAUAAAGAUAUUAAAGACUUUUUAGAAUUUAAUGAAAAUAAAGGUGCAACAUAACAAAACUUAUGGGCCACAAUGAAAGAAGUGCCAAGACGAAAAGUCAUAAGUCUGAGUGCCUCCAAAAAGAAACUGGAGAGAACAUACACCAGUAGCUUGACAGCACACAUGAAAGCUCUAGAACAAAAGAGAAGUAAAUACACCCAAGAGAAGUAGAAGGCAGGAAAUAAUCAAACUCAGGGAUGAAAUCAACCAAAUAGAGACAAAAAGAACUAUACAAAUAAUCAACAAAAGCAGGAGUUGGUUCUUUGAGAAAAUCAACAUGAUAGGUAAACCAGACUAGCCAGAGGGCACAGAGACAGUAUCCAAUUAACAAAAUCAGAAAUGAAAAAAAACGGACAUAACAACAGAAACUGAGGAAAUUAAAAAAAAUCAUCAGAUCCUACUACCAAAGCCUCUACUCAACAAAACUGGAAAAUCUGGAUGAAAUGUAAAGUUUUCUAGAUAGAUACAGGUACCAAAGUUAAAUCAGGAUCAGAUAAACCAUCUAAAUAGUCCCAUAAUCCUUAAAGAAAUAGAAGAAGUUAUUAAGAGUAUCCCCCCCAAAAAAAAAAAAAAAAAAAAAAAAAAAAAGCCCAGGACAAGACAGGAUUAUUGCCAAGUUCUAUCAGACUUUCAAAGAAGACCGAAUACCAAUACUUGUCAAACUAUUACACAAAAUAGAAA